rnacentral:tRNA from 1 species
AUUAUAGUGGUGUAAUUAGAAAUACACCUCCUUUUGGAGGAGGAGAGGGGGGUCCAAAUCCCUCCUAGAGUU